UCCGAGUUGUAAUUUGCAGAGGGUGCUUUGGCGUCGGCAGCGGUCUAAGUUCCUUGGAACAGGACAUCACAGAGGGUGAGAAUCCCGUACGUGGUCGCCUGCCUUCGCCGUGUAAAGCCCCUUCGACGAGUCGAGUUGUUUGGGAAUGCAGCUCUAAAUGGGAGGUAAAUUUCUUCUAAAGCUAAAUACCGGCCAGAGACCGAUAGCGCACAAGUAGAGUGAUCGAAAGAUGAAAAGCACUUUGGAAAGAGAGUCAAACAGCACGUGAAAUUGUUGAAAGGGAAGCGCUUGCAGCCAGACUUGCUCGUAGUUGCUCAUCCGGGUCCGCCCGGAGCACUCUUCUGCGAGCAGGCCAGCAUCAGUUUGGGCGACCGGAUAAAGGCCUCUGUCAUGUAUCUUCCUUCGGGAUGACCUUAUAGGGGAGGCGUAAUGCGGCCAGCCCGGACUGAGGUCCGCGCUUCUGCUAGGAUGCUGGCGUAAUGGCUGUAAGCGGCCCGUCUUGAAACACGGACCAAGGAGUCUAACAUCUAUGCGAGUGUUUGGGUGUCAAGCCCGGGCGCGUAAUGAAAGUGAACGGAGGUGGGAACCCUCUCCGGGGGGUGCACCAUCGACCGAUCCUGAUGUCUUCGGAUGGAUUUGAGUAAGAGCAUAGCUGUUGGGACCCGAAAGAUGGUGAACUAUGCUUGAAUAGGGUGAAGCCAGAGGAAACUCUGGUGGAGGCUCGCAGCGGUUCUGACGUGCAAAUCGAUCGUCAAAUUUGGGCAUAGGGGCGAAAGACUAAUCGA
rnacentral:rRNA from 1 species